AUUAGAGGGUCUUGGGUACUGGCAAGAGCAAACGCUGCUGAAAGACUUGUGCUUUAGAGCUGGGAAGGGUGGGAGAGUUCCUGGAUUGGCUCUGUCCCCAGCUAUAACACCAUCACAAGAAAAGACCAGAGUCCUGAGUGGUGUUUUUCCAGGAGUGCUAAAGUUGACCUCGUGAGAGAUGAGGUUGGUUGCCCCAUCCUAUCCCUGGGAAGCCACAUACUUUAUUGGGUUCCUUGUGGGGUUUUUUUUUCUUUCUUCUUUUUUUCCUUCCCUCCGAAACCAGCAUUACACUCACCACUCACAUGCCUUUGAGACACAAAGUGCUUACCUCUGUCUCCUGCACUCACUCUUCCUAUAGACAGCUUUACUUUUUGGUUGUGAGUGUGAGGAAGCUGAUAAAAUGCUUUUGAAGUCCUAUCUUAGAUUUGUUUAGCUGCUUUUCAUUUGUGCUCACAUACAUUGUGUCAUUUUAAUUCUCACCAGAACCUUGUGAAGAGGAAAUUUAAGACUCAAAGAGGAUAAAUGACUUGCCUGAGGUCACAGUCGUAGACCUUGAACUAGGGUCUUUUGCCUUCCAUGCUGCAUCCUCAAUAUCACACUUUCAACAGGGCUCUGUACUCUAUUCCUUUCCCUCCAGUGGGAAAUAAAUGAGUAUCAUGUUAAAUAGCUAAAGGCCUUCUUUGAAGGGACAGCUAUCAGGUGAAUAGGCUUAUGCCAUGCAGCCUGUCUCUUUCUGCCUCUGCCAAGAACUCUCCCAGCAGACCAAGUACAGCUACCCUUGUUUGUUUCCCUUUUACCCGACCCUGACACAGCAUUACCCUGCAGUUAAAGCAGCUUCAGGGGUUCUAGUGGGGAGGAGAUCUUAAUGUAGCCUCCAACCAUCCCCAUUCUGCUCUGUUGUGGGAUAUCAGAGUGCCCUCUUCUGGUGAGAGGGAAGCAUUUUGACAGUUUUUCCCAUUUUAGAAAUAAGAUUUUCACAUAAGAGUUUUCGCACUCUUAGUUAGAUGCUGUGGAGUGAAUUCCAGAAUUAAUCUUGCUCAUAAGACAGGAUCAAUUCUUCUUACCUUCAAGGAGCAGUGACUUCUGCCUUCAUCCAGACCAAACGUGGCUUUCUCACAGGCUGAGAGGUUUUAAAUUCAACAGCCUUUACCCUUUAUUACAUUCCUGGUCUGUAGCUGUUUCUCCUAAGUGUCCACCGGGGGCACUUGACCUUGAAAUUCCCAGCAGGAUAUGGAAAUUGUAGAAAUCAGCUCCAAGAACCGCUGUAGCCUCUGGUGGUGCUUACUACUGCAGGGCAUUUUCUCUUGUUUGUUAAAACAAGUGUGUGUAUGUGCAAAUAGUUAUACUUGUAUGUGCAUUUUUAUGUGAAUCCUUCGUGGUAUAUCAGUAUAUGUAUUGGGUCUCUGUGGUUGUGUCUCUUCAUCUUCAGAUACAAGGUCUUGGAAUCUGAAACAAACCAAGUGAGAAGAAUUUUUCACUACCUGCUCUGGACUUAGUGCUAGGUUAAGCAAACCGGAACAGCUGUUGUUCUGAAAAUUGGCAGCACCAGAGGUCUGGGCUGGGAUUGGAAGGAGAUCAUCUGGACUCUUCCCAAAUCAAUAGAAAUGGAGGAAGCCCUCUUCAUCAUCUAGUUUCCUUACUUUGGAAGUUCCUGUUAUAUGUCCUUUCUUCCAAACUAUCCUGAUUAAUUGAUUUGAGACUUCUCUGAUCCUUUGUACUCUUCCUAGAUGAUGGGAACGCCCCCCUCCUGUUCCAUCCAUGUCACCUAAGAAACCCAUAUACACACCACAUCAUCGAUUUUAAAAGUCUUCAGUCUCUACUCACGGAAAUAUAAGAGGAGGUGGAAGAAAAGAAACAAGUGCUGCUUUUUCCUUCCUUUCCAGUUUACCUCUUACUAGGAAGAUAGAAGGCCAGCAUAGCCCACAAGGGCUGCUAUGUCACCUUCAAAGGACAGUCACCCGCCUUUCUCCCAUGUAGCAACAUGGUCACUUUUCCAAAAAUAAAGGCAGGGAUUAAGAUUGGCUGUUCUUGGAACAACUGUUCUGGUUUAUUAAUACAUUUUUGUGGUUGCCCAGUUUACCCCCAGGCCUGGACCUUAAUUCUUCCACUAUGAUAUUGGAUAGCAUUAUAACCCCAGGAAACAUUUUUCUUCCUACUAAAAUGAUGGUCCGCAGGUCCCUUGAGGUUUCUACAGAGGUGCUUGUCUGCAGAAGAUGCACACAGACAUGAAAUGGCAAUGAUGUACACACACAGACUCCCAACUCACAGUGACACAGCACCAUGGCCAGAGUGAGGUAUAUACAGAAAUAGCCUCUCACAUACUUACUGGCUCAUUUUGUAGCUGAGGGGUUUCCAAAGCUGGGACUAACUCCUUUCUCUCCCACUCCCUGAAGAUAUUCCUCCCCUUCACCAAAAGAGGGGGAAAAAACCAAGAUAUUGUUGGAUUCUAUCCUGUAAUAUGGGAAAGAUGCCUGUGGAUAUUAUUUCUCUGGACAUUCCUUUCCAUAGAUUUGAUUCUUGGUGGCAAAAGGAAGAAGUCUUAUGAGUCUUCUACCUCAGUGAUUAAAAAAAAACCGAAACAACUAAACAAAAACCAAUUCUGCCAGACAUAAAUGUCAUCUGUUUGUAUUUAUGCGGUUUGCUCUGCCCAAUCGACCUUUCUGC